UCUUUUUCCAACAUACUGGCUCAUAUGCACGUGCACUCACACAGACACAGGCACAGUCACUUUCUGUCCUGGUUGGGGGAGGGGGGCGGUCCCAGGACCACGUUGGAUGGGAUUCUGAGCUGGGAGGAACAGGAGGAGUGGGACAAUUUCCUUUUCAGGCUGGGUCUCUUAGCGUCUUCCCGGGGACUCUGCUGGGGACACGGGAGCCCGGGAGCUGGACAAAGGGAUGAGGGAGACUUAAAGCCCAGAGAGGAGGUAAGACUUACCUAAGAGAACACAGCAACCUGAAGACACAGCUCCCCGCUUACAGUACCGGCUGGCCUCUCCCACCGUCCUGCCCACGCCCAUCUGCAGCCUCCCAGCCCAUCCAUGGCUGCAGACGACAGAAAAGCUGCAGCUCCCAAGGAGGGGCUUCCAGUGGUCCCCUGGGCCCCUGAGGAGGGCUCAAGGCCAGACCAGGAAGCCAGGGAGCAGGUGAAGGAUCGAGGCCAGUGGAACAACAAGAUGGAGUUCGUGCUGUCCGUGGCCGGGGAGAUCAUCGGGCUGGGCAACGUCUGGAGGUU